rfam:Tupaia chinensis contig187651, whole genome shotgun sequence.
GGAUCCAUCUGCAGUACCCAUACUAAAAUUGGAACAAGACAGAGAAGGUUUGCAUGGCCCUGUAAAGAUGACAUACAAACCUGUGAAGUGUUUCAUAUUUUC